rnacentral:rRNA from 1 species
UACGGAGGGAGCUAGCGUUGUUCGGAAUCACUGGGCGUAAAGGGCGCGUAGGCGGCGCGGGCAGUCAACGGUGAAAGCUUGGGGCUCAACCCCGAGUCGGCCGUCGAUACUCCCGUGCUGGAGCACUGUAGAGGCAGGUGGAAUUCCGGGUGUAGCGGUGGAAUGCGUAGAGAUCCGGAAGAACACCGGUGGCGAAGGCGGCUCUCUGGGACGGUACUGACGCUGAGACGCGAAAGCGUGGGGAGCGAACAGG